UUCGGGGCGGGCCUGCCGGUCUGCCGAUGGGUAUGCACUGGUGGGCGCGUCCUUCCUUCCGGAGACCGUGCCUACUCUUAACUGAGCGGGGGCGGGAGACGGAUCGUUUACUUUGAAAAAAUCAGAGUGUUUCAAGCAGACUCGCGUCUUUGCAAGGAUUAGCAUGGGAUAAUGAAAUAGGACUUUGGUGCUAUUUUGUUGGUUUCGAACACCGAAGUAAUGAUUAAAAGGGACAGUCAGGGGCACUCGUUAUUCCGUCGAGAGAGGCGAAAUUCUCAGACCAACGGAAGUACUAACUACUGCGAAAGCAUUUGCCAGGGAUGUUUUCACUGAUCAAGAACGAAAGUUAUGGGAUCUAAGACGAUCAGAUACCGUCGUAUCCUUAACCAUAAACAAUGCCGACUA
rnacentral:rRNA from 1 species